rnacentral:rRNA from 1 species
AGUGAACGCUGGCGGUAGGCCUAACACAUGCAAGUCGAACGGCAGCACAGUAAGAGCUUGCUCUUACGGGUGGCGAGUGGCGGACGGGUGAGGAAUACAUCGGAAUCUACUUUUUCGUGGGGGAUAACGUAGGGAAACUUACGCUAAUACCGCAUACGACCUACGGGUGAAAGCAGGGGAUCUUCGGACCUUGCGCGAUUGAAUGAGCCGAUGUCGGAUUAGCUAGUUGGCGGGGUAAAGGCCCACCAAGGCGACGAUCCGUAGCUGGUCUGAGAGGAUGAUCGGCCACACUGGAACUGAGACACGGUCCAGACUCCUACGGGAGGCAGCAGUGGGGAAUAUUAGACAAUAGGCGCAAGCCUGAUCCAGCCAGACCGCGUGGGUGAAGAAGGCCUUCGGGUUGUAAAGCCCUUUUGUUGGGAAAGAAAAGCAGCAGGUUAAUACCCCGCUGUUCUGACGGUACCCAAAGAAUAAGCACCGGCUAACUUCGUG